rnacentral:lncRNA from 1 species
AUGGCUUCCUCAAUUGUCUCAUCGGCAGCCGCUGCUACCCGUAGCAAUGUUGCUCAAGCUAGCAUGGUCGCACCCUUCACCGGACUCAAAUCCGCCGCUUCUUUUCCCGUUACCAAGAAGAACAACAACGUUGACAUUACCUCCCUUGCUAGCAAUGGUGGACGCGUUAGAUGCAUGCAGGUUAUUCAAAAAUAAGUGAUUCAAUUAUCAGUAUGUAUAUAUAAUUUAAAUUCAACGCGAUUAUUUUAUAAUCGUGGAAUGUUUGACUAAUGUAGGUGUGGCCACCAAUCAACAUGAAGAAAUACGAGACAUUGUCAUACCUUCCUGACUUGUCCGAUGAGCAAUUGCUUAGCGAAAUUGAGUAUCUUUUGAAAAAUGGAUGGGUUCCUUGCUUGGAAUUCGAGACU